rnacentral:rRNA from 1 species
UACGUAGGGGGCAAGCGUUGUCCGGAUUUAUUGGGCGUAAAGAGCGUGUAGGCGGCUUUACAGGUCCGUUGUGAAAACUCGAGGCUCAACCUCGAGACGCCGGUGGAAACCGUAAAGCUAGAGUCCGGAAGAGGAGAGUGGAAUUCCUGGUGUAGCGGUGAAAUGCGCAGAUAUCAGGAGGAACACCCGUGGCGAAAGCGGCUCUCUGGGACGGUACUGACGCUGAGACGCGAAAGCGUGAGGAGCAAACAGG